rnacentral:rRNA from 1 species
UAGGGAAUCUUCGGCAAUGGACGGAAGUCUGACCGAACAACGCCGCGUGAGUGAAGAAGGUUUUCGGAUCGUAAAGCUCUGUUGUAAGAGAAGAACGAGUGUGAGAGUGGAAAGUUCACACUGUGACGGUAUCUUACCAGAAAGGGACGGCUAACUACGUGCCAGCAGCCGCGGUAAUACGUAGGUCCCGAGCGUUGUCCGGAUUUAUUGGGCGUAAAGCGAGCGCAGGCGGUUAGAUAAGUCUGAAGUUAAAGGCUGUGGCUUAACCAUAGUACGCUUUGGAAACUGUUUAACUUGAGUGCAAGAGGGGAGAGUGGAAUUCCAUGUGUAGCGGUGAAAUGCGUAGAUAUAUGGAGGAACACCGGUGGCGAAAGCGGCUCUCUGGCUUGUAACUGACGCUGAGGCUCGAAAGCGUGGGGAGCAAACAGGAUUAGAUACCCUGGUAGUCCACGCCGUAAACGAUGAGUGCUAGGUGUUAGACCCUUUCCGGGGUUUAGUGCCGUAGCUAACGCAUUAAGCACUCCGCCUGGGGAGUACGACCGCAAGGUUG